UUUAAUUUAAGGUCUAACCUGCCCAAUGAAAAAUUUAAAUGGCCGCAGUAUUUUGACUGUGCAAAGGUAGCAUAAUCAUUAGUUUUUUAAUUGAAAGCUUGUAUGAAGGGUUGGACGAGAUAAAAACUGUCUUAAAUUAAUUUAUUUUAGAAUUUAAUUUUUAAGUUAAAAAGCUUAAAUAAUAUUAAAAGACGAGAAGACCCUAUAGAUCUUUAUAAUUUUUAUUUUAAUUAAAUUUUAGAAUUAAUUAUUAUUUAAUUUAAAAAUUAUUAUAUUGGGGUAAUAUAAAGAUUAAAGUAAUUCUUUAUUUAUUUAUACAUUAAUUUAUGAUUAUUUGAUCCAAUAUUAUUGAUUAUAAGAUUAAGUUACCUUAGGGAUAACAGCGUAAUUUUUUUAGAGAGUUCAUAUCGAUAAAAAAGUUUGCGACCUCGAUGUUGGAUUAAAAAUUAUCCUAGGUGCAGAAGUUUAGGAUUUUGGUCUGUUCGACCAUUAAAUUUUU
rnacentral:rRNA from 1 species